GUCCUUUAGAUAUUAAUUUAAGGUCUAACCUGCCCACUGAAUUAUUUUAAAUGGCCGCAGUAAUUUGACUGUGCAAAGGUAGCAUAAUCAUUAGUUUUUUAAUUAAAAGCUUGUAUGAAAGGUUGGACGAAGUAAAAUCUGUCUCUAAUUAAAUUAAUUUAGAAUUUAACUUUUAAGUUAAAAGGCUUAAAUUUAACUAAAAGACGAGAAGACCCUAUAGAUCUUUAUAUUUAAAUUAAUAAAUUUAAUUAAGAAUUUUUAAAAUUUUAUUAAUUUAAUUAUUUUAUUGGGGUAAUAUAAAGAUUAAAAUAAUUCUUUUUUUUUAUUAACAUUAAUUUAUGAUUUUGAUGAUCCAAUUAUAUUGAUUUUAAGAUUAAGUUACCUUAGGGAUAACAGCGUAAUUUUUUUAGAGAGUUCUUAUCGAUAAAAAAGUUUGCGACCUCGAUGUUGGAUUAAAGAUUAUUUUAGGUGUAGAAGCUUAAAAAUUUUGGUCUGUUCGACCAUUAAAUCUUUACAUGAUCUGAGUUCAGACCGGUGUAAGCCAGGUCGGUUUCUAUCUUUAGUAAAUUAAAAUAUUUUAGUACGAAAGGACCAAUUAUUUAAUAUAAAUAUUUAAAUUUUGAUUAUUAUUAA
rnacentral:rRNA from 1 species